AGAUCGAGCGAACUCUGGUAUUGAUUGGUGCUUGCAUCAUGAUUUACAUUUGAGUGAGUGGCGAACUGGUGAGUAACACGUGGGAAACCUGCCCAGAAGCGGGGGAUAACACCUGGAAACAGAUGCUAAUACCGCAUAACAACUUGGACCGCAUGGUCCGAGUUUGAAAGAUGGCUUCGGCUAUCACUUUUGGAUGGUCCCGCGGCGUAUUAGCUAGAUGGUGAGGUAACGGCUCACCAUGGCAAUGAUACGUAGCCGACCUGAGAGGGUAAUCGGCCACAUUGGGACUGAGACACGGCCCAAACUCCUACGGGAGGCAGCAGUAGGGAAUCUUCCACAAUGGACGAAAGUCUGAUGGAGCAACGCCGCGUGAGUGAAGAAGGGUUUCGGCUCGUAAAACUCUGUUGUUAAAGAAGAACAUAUCUGAGAGUAACUGUUCAGGUAUUGACGGUAUUUAACCAGAAAGCCACGGCUAACUACGUGCCAGCAGCCGCGGUAAUACGUAGGUGGCAAGCGUUGUCCGGAUUUAUUGGGCGUAAAGCGAGCGCAGGCGGUUUUUUAAGUCUGAUGUGAAAGCCUUCGGCUCAACCGAAGAAGUGCAUCGGAAACUGGGAAACUUGAGUGCAGAAGAGGACAGUGGAACUCCAUGUGUAGCGGUGAAAUGCGUAGAUAUAUGGAAGAACACCAGUGGCGAAGGCGGCUGUCUGGUCUGUAACUGACGCUGAGGCUCGAAAGUAUGGGUAGCAAACAGGAUUAGAUACCCUGGUAGUCCAUACCGUAAACGAUGAAUGCUAAGUGUUGGAGGGUUUCCGCCCUUCAGUGCUGCAGCUAACGCAUUAAGCAUUCCGCCUGGGGAGUACGGCCGCAAGGCUGAAACUCAAAGGAAUUGACGGGGGCCCGCACAAGCGGUGGAGCAUGUGGUUUAAUUCGAAGCUACGCGAAGAACCUUACCAGGUCUUGACAUACUAUGCAAAUCUAAGAGAUUAGACGUUCCCUUCGGGGACAUGGAUACAGNUGGUGCAUGGNNGUCGUCAGCUCGUGUCGUGAGAUGUGGGUUAAGUCCCGCAACGAGCGCAACCCUNAUUAUCAGUUGCCAGCAUUANNNGGGCACUCUGGNGAGACUGCCGNNGACNAACCGGAGGAAAGGNGGGGAAUGACGUCAAAUUCAUC
rnacentral:rRNA from 2 species